CCAGCUCCAAUAGCGUAUAUUAAAGUUGUUGCGGUUAAAAAGCUCGUAGUUGGAUUUUUUAAAAUUUUUGGUACUUAGGUAACUAAUAAUUUUAAUUUUAACAUUUAUGUUAAAUUUGUUACUUUGAAGAAAUUAGAGUGUUUAAAGCAGAUUUUUGUUAUGAAUAUAUUAGCAUGGAAUAACAUUAAAGACUUAAAAAUUUUGUUGGUUAAAUUUUUAAAUAAUGUUUAAUAGAAAUAACCGGGGGCAUUUGUAUUUAACAGUUAGAGGUGGAAUUCUUGGAUUUGUUAAAGACAAACUAUUGCGAAAGCAUUUGUCAAGGAUGUUUUCG
rnacentral:rRNA from 1 species